GCAGGCCUAACACAUGCAAGUCGAGCGGCAGCGCGGGGGCAACCCUGGCGGCGAGCGGCGGACGGGUGAGGAACACAUCGGAAUCUACCCUGUCGUGGGGGACAACGUAGGGAAACUUACGCUAAUACCGCAUACGACCUUCGGGUGAAAGUGGGGGACCGCAAGGCCUCACGCGAUUGGAUGAGCCGAUGUCCGAUUAGCUAGUUGGCGGGGUAAAGGCCCACCAAGGCGACGAUCGGUAGCUGGUCUGAGAGGACGACCAGCCACACUGGAACUGAGACACGGUCCAGACUCCUACGGGAGGCAGCAGUGGGGAAUAUUGGACAAUGGGGGCAACCCUGAUCCAGCCAUGCCGCGUGGGUGAAGAAGGCCUUCGGGUUGUAAAGCCCUUUUGUACGGGAAGAAAAGCCGUCGGGUAAUAUCCGGCGGUGCUGACGGUACCGUAAGAAUAAGCACCGGCUAACUUCGUGCCAGCAGCCGCGGUAAUACGAAGGGUGCAAGCGUUACUCGGAAUUACUGGGCGUAAAGCGUGCGUAGGUGGUUUGUUAAGUCUGAUGUGAAAUCCCCGGGCUCAACCUGGGAAUGGCAUUGGAUACUGGCAGGCUAGAGUGCGGUAGAGGGUGGUGGAAUUCCCGGUGUAGCAGUGAAAUGCGUAGAGAUCGGGAGGAACAUCUGUGGCGAAGGCGGCCACCUGGACCAGCACUGACACUGAGGCACGAAAGCGUGGGGAGCAAACAGGAUUAGAUACCCUGGUAGUCCACGCCCUAAACGAUGCGAACUGGAUGUUGGGUGCAACUUGGCACUCAGUAUCGAAGCUAACGCGUUAAGUUCGCCGCCUGGGGAGUACGGUCGCAAGACUGAAACUCAAAGGAAUUGACGGGGGCCCGCACAAGCGGUGGAGUAUGUGGUUUAAUUCGAUGCAACGCGAAGAACCUUACCUGGCCUUGACAUGUCGCGAACCCCUGAGAGAUUGGGGGGUGCCUUCGGGAACGCGAACACAGGUGCUGCAUGGCUGUCGUCAGCUCGUGUCGCGAGAUGUUGGGUUAAGUCCCGCAACGAGCGCAACCCUUGUCCCUAGUUGCCAGCACGUAAUGGUGGGAACUCUAGGGAGACCGCCGGUGACAAACCGGAGGAAGGUGGGGAUGACGUCAAGUCCUCAUGGCCCUUACGGCCA
rnacentral:rRNA from 1 species